AGGGUUUGAUCCUGGCUCAGAAUGAACGCUGGCGGCGUGGCUAAGACAUGCAAGUCGAACGGACCAUUAAUUCAUUAGUGGUUAGUGGCGAAAGGGUUAGUAACAGGUGGGUAACGUACCCCGUGCUUUGGGAUAGCGUCAGUAGCUUCGGCUACUUUCCGAAAGGGGCGAUAAUACCAAAUAAUAUUAAAAGUCGAUGGGCUUUUAAUCAAAGAUUUAUCGGCACAGGAGCGGCCUGCCUCCUAUCAGCUUGUUGGUGAGGUAAAAGCUUACCAAGGCUCUGACGGGUAGCGGGACUGAGAGGUUGAUCCGCAACAUCGGGACUGAGACACUGCCCGGACCUCCACGGAGGGCUGCAGUAACGAAUAUUGUGCAAUGGGCGCAAGCCUGACACAGCGACGCCGCGUGUAGGAGGAAGUCCCUCGGGAUGUAAACUACUGUCAGGGGCAAGAAAGUGCGUUUCGGCGCAUUGAUCCACCCCGGAGGAAGUCACGGCUAACUUCGUGCCAGCAGCCGCGGUAAGACGAAGGUGGCAAGCGUUAUUCGGUAUCACUGGGCUUAAAGCGUGUGUAGGUGGAAAAGUAAGCGUUUUGUGAAAUCCCCCGGGCUUAACCGGGGAAUUGUGGAGCGAACUGCUUUUCUUGAGGCAAGUAGGGGUGCAUGGAACUCUUGGUGGAGCGGUGGAAUGCGUAGAUAUCAAGAGGAACGCCAGUGGAGAAAUCGGUGCACUGGGCUUGUCCUGACACUGAGACACGAAAGCGUGGGUAGCGAACGGGAUUAGAUACCCCGGUAGUCCACGCCGUAAACGAUGUCUACUAGGUUGUGAAAGUUCUGACACUGGCACAGCCGAAGCAAAAGUGCUAAGUAGACCGCCUGGGGAGUACGGUCGCAAGGCUAAAACUCAAAGGAAUUGACGGGGGCUCACACAAGCGGUGGAGCAUGUGGAUUAAUUCGAAACAACGCGCAGAACCUUACCUGGGUUUGACAUGUAUGUAUGCCUUUCCUGAAAGGGAGUAGGCUGCCCUUCGGGGUGAAACUUACACAGGUGCUGCAUGGCUGUCGUCAGCUCGUGUCGUGAGAUGUCGGGUUAAGUCCUUUAACGAGCGAAACCCUUACCAUUAGUUGCCAGCGGGUCAUGCCGGGGACUCUAGUGGGACUGCCGGUGUUAAACCGGAGGAAGGCGGGGACGACGUCAAGUCAUCAUGGCCUUUAUGCCCAGGGCCUCACACGUGCUACAAUGGCUCGGACAGAGCGACGCAAGACCGCGAGGUGGAGCAAAUCGCAAAAACCGGGCCUCAGUUCGGAUUGCAGGCUGGCAACUCGCCUGCAUGAAGUUGGAAUCGCUAGUAAUCGCGUGUCAGCUAUAACGCGGUGAAUGUGUUCCUGAGCCUUGUACACACCGCCCGUCAAGUCAUGGGAGUCUGGAGUACCCGAAACCGGGUUGUCAACCUUUUAGGAGACGCCUGUCUACGGUAAGCCAGAUGACUGGGACUAAGUCGGAGCAAGGUA
rnacentral:rRNA from 1 species